GACGAACGCUGGCGGCGUGCUUAACACAUGCAAGUCGAGCGGUAAGGCUCCUUCGGUGGGGUGUUCUAGUGGCGAACGGGUGAGUAACACGUGGGCAACCUGCCCCCGGCUCUGGGAUAACCCCAAGAAAUUGGGGCUAAUACCGGAUAUGACCGCUGACCGCAUGGUCUGGUGGUGGAAAGUUUUUCGGCUGGGGAUGGGCCCGCGGGCUAUCAGCUUGUUGGUGGGGUAGUGGCCUACCAAGGCGACGACGGGUAGCCGGCCUGAGAGGGUGACCGGCCACACUGGGACUGAGACACGGCCCAGACUCCUACGGGAGGCAGCAGUGGGGAAUAUUGCGCAAUGGGCGGAAGCCUGACGCAGCGACGCCGCGUGGGGGAUGACGGCCUUCGGGUUGUAAACCUCUUUCAGCAGGGACGAAGCGAAAGUGACGGUACCUGCAGAAGAAGCACCGGCCAACUACGUGCCAGCAGCCGCCGUAACAC
rnacentral:rRNA from 1 species